UACGUAGGGGGCAAGCGUUGUCCGGAAUCAUUGGGCGUAAAGAGCGCGUAGGCGGCCCUGUAAGUCCGCUGUGAAAGUCAAGGGCUCAACCCUUGGAUGCCGGUGGAUACUGCAGGGCUAGAGUCCGGAAGAGGCGAGUGGAAUUCCUGGUGUAGCGGUGAAAUGCGCAGAUAUCAGGAGGAACACCGAUGGCGAAGGCAGCUCGCUGGGACGGUACUGACGCUGAGGCGCGAAAGCAUGGGGAGCGAACAGG
rnacentral:rRNA from 1 species